GCCAACAUGGUGUAAUGGCUUCAGUGCUGGACUACAGCUCUGGAGACCAGGGUUCAAUUCCUUGCUUGGCC